AUAAGCAAUCUAUACCGUGAAACUGCGAAUGGCUCAUUAAAUCAGUUAUCGUUUAUUUGAUAGUACCUUACUACUUGGAUAACCGUGGUAAUUCUAGAGCUAAUACAUGCUAAAAACCUCGACUUCGGAAGGGGUGUAUUUAUUAGAUAAAAAACCAAUGCCCUUCGGGGCUCUCUGGUGAUUCAUAAUAACUUAACGAAUCGCAUGGCCUUGUGCCGGCGAUGGUUCAUUCAAAUUUCUGCCCUAUCAACUUUCGAUUGUAUGGUCUUGGCUUACAAUGGUUUCAACGGGUAACGGGGAAUUAGGGUUCUAUUCCGGAGAGGGAGCCUGAGAAACGGCUACCACAUCCAAGGAAGGCAGCAGGCGCGCAAAUUACCCAAUCCCGACACGGGGAGGUAGUGACAAUAAAUACUGAUACAGGGCUCUUUUGGGUCUUGUAAUUGGAAUGAGUACAAUUUAAAUCCCUUAACGAGGAACAAUUGGAGGGCAAGUCUGGUGCCAGCAGCCGCGGUAAUUCCAGCUCCAAUAGCGUAUAUUAAAGUUGUUGCAGUUAAAAAGCUCGUAGUUGAACCUUGGGCCUGGCUGGCCGGUCCGCCUCACCGCGUGCACUGGUCCGGCCGGGCCUUUCCUCCUGGGGAGCCGCAUGCCCUUCACUGGGUGUGCCGGGGAACCAGGACUUUUACUUUGAAAAAAUUAGAGUGUUCAAAGCAGGCCUAUGCUCGAAUACAUUAGCAUGGAAUAAUAGAAUAGGACGUGUGGUUCUAUUUUGUUGGUUUCUAGGACCGCCGUAAUGAUUAAUAGGGAUAGUCGGGGGCAUCAGUAUUCAAUUGUCAGAGGUGAAAUUCUUGGAUUUAUUGAAGACUAACUACUGCGAA
rnacentral:rRNA from 1 species